UGGAGAGUUUGAUCCUGGCUCAGAUUGAACGCUGGCGGCAGGCCUAACACAUGCAAGUCGAACGGUAACAGGGAGCAGCUUGCUGCUCUGCUGACGAGUGGCGGACGGGUGAGUAAUGUCUGGGAAACUGCCUGAUGGAGGGGGAUAACUACUGGAAACGGUAGCUAAUACCGCAUAACGUCUUCGGACCAAAGUGGGGGACCUUCGGGCCUCAUGCCAUCAGAUGUGCCCAGAUGGGAUUAGCUAGUAGGUGGGGUAACGGCUCACCUAGGCGACGAUCCCUAGCUGGUCUGAGAGGAUGACCAGCCACACUGGAACUGAGACACGGUCCAGACUCCUACGGGAGGCAGCAGUGGGGAAUAUUGCACAAUGGGCGCAAGCCUGAUGCAGCCAUGCCGCGUGUAUGAAGAAGGCCUUCGGGUUGUAAAGUACUUUCAGCGGGGAGGAAGGYGUUGUGGUUAAUAACCRCAGCAAUUGACGUUACCCGCAGAAGAAGCACCGGCUAACUCCGUGCCAGCAGCCGCGGUA
rnacentral:rRNA from 1 species